AUUGAACGCUGGCGGCGUGCCUAACACAUGCAAGUCGAGCGGUAACAGGUGUAGCAAUACAUGCUGACGAGCGGCGGACGGGUGAGUAACGCUUGGGAAUCUGCCUAUUAGUGGAGGACAACCCGGGGAAACUCGGGCUAAUACCGCAUACGCUCUACGGAGGAAAGCCGGGGACCGCAAGGCCUGGCGUUAAUAGAUGAGCCCAAGUCGGAUUAGCUAGUUGGUAGGGUAAUGGCCUACCAAGGCGACGAUCCGUAACUGGUACUGAGAGGACGACCAGUCACACCGGAACUGAGACACGGUCCGGACUCCUACGGGAGGCAGCAGUGGGGAAUAUUGGACAAUGGGCGAAAGCCUGAUCCAGCGACGCCGCGUGGGUGAAGAAGGCCUGCGGGUUGUAAAGCCCUUUCAGU
rnacentral:rRNA from 1 species